CGAGUUGGCCGGGCGGCCGCGGCACGGAGAACUGUCGACCUGGCGUCGUCAAGCUCCGAGCCGAGGAAAGUCCGGACUCCACAGAGCAGGGCGGUUGCCAACAGCAACCCGAGGUGACUCGCGGGACAGUGCCACAGAAAAGAGACCGCCGGUCCGUCCUCGGACGGGUCGGUCAGGGUGAAACGGUGCGGUAAGAGCGCACCAGCACCCCGGGUGACCGGGGUGGCUCGGUAAACCCCGCCCGGAGCAAGAUCGAAGGUCGCACCACCGUUCGCGGAGGUGCGGCUGCGCAGGUGCUCGAGGGCUGCUCGCCCGAGCCUGCGGGUUGAUCGCUCGAGGUACCCGGCGACGGUGUGCCCAGAUGGAUGGUCGCCACUCGGGACAUGUUCCGAGUACAGGAUCCGGCUUACACGCCGACUCGUCCG
rnacentral:RNase_P_RNA from 2 species